rnacentral:piRNA from 1 species
UGGUGCUAUUUCUUUACUCCCUU